rnacentral:rRNA from 1 species
UUUACACUCUGACCUCGGAUCAGGUAGCAAACCG